AUGGAACACUUCUGUUUCCUGGUCAUCCUCCCACUCCUUGGCUUGGCCAUGGCCUUGCAGUUGACCGCCCCAUGUCAAGCUACGCAACCUCAGCCACAACCGAUCUAUGACACAGAAGAUCAUGCGCUAACAGGUGACAACUUCUACAAUCUCAUGCCGGUGGACCUCUUACUGAAUGGUCAAUGUGUUAACCAUAGCUCUAUAUGGAAGUCCGGGUGCCCUAGGAACGUGAAUCUGGCACUAUGCGACGACUCCACCAGCAGUAGAAGCGUGGCUGUGUCGAUCAAGCUGGCGGCGGCGACCAACGGCUCCGACAAGGAGGCAUCACCCCGCCUCUCGACUGACGUCGUGAUCGAAUUCGGCGACACCGUCAACAAGUGCAAGCAGCGUCUCCAAUGGUACGUCGGCGCAGGUAUCACGCAUAAUUUGCAUGUGACCGUCGGCCACUUCAUAAAUACGGAGGGGAGCGACGUGCUGACAGAUGGCAGAGACCAAAAGUUCAUUUUUCGCGUCGAGAGGUAUCACGGCGCAUACAAGCUGACAUCGUGCUACGCCCCGGGGUGCAAACAUGAGCCGUGCGGUUGCCGUGAUCUGGUGUUGUACAAAUAUAACAAAAAGUGGUGGCUGGUUGUUAAGGAAAAAGGGUGGCAGGGGCUGCCCCUGGUGGUUGUGUUCGAAAAAUGUCCUAGGCCGUGCUUUCCUCCUAAGGGCCUGCCUCACGAGUAA
rnacentral:rRNA from 1 species